GACGAACGCUGGCGGCGUGCCUAAUACAUGCAAGUUGAGCGCUGAAGGUUGGUACUUGUACCAACUGGAUGAGCAGCGAACGGGUGAGUAACGCGUGGGGCAUCUGCCUUUGAGCGGGGGACAACAUUUGGAAACGAAUGCUAAUACCGCAUAAAAACUUUAAACACAAGUUUUAAGUUUGAAAGAUGCAAUUGCAUCACUCAAAGAUGAUCCCGCGUUGUAUUAGCUAGUUGGUGAGGUAAAGGCUCACCAAGGCGAUGAUACAUAGCCGACCUGAGAGGGUGAUCGGCCACAUUGGGACUGAGACACGGCCCAAACUCCUACGGGAGGCAGCAGUAGGGAAUCUUCGGCAAGAGACGAAAGUCUGACCGAGCAACGCCGCGGGAGUGAAGAAGGUUUUCGGAUCGUAAAACUCUGUUGGUAGAGAAGAACGUUGGUGAGAGUGGAAAGCUCAUCAAGUGACGGUAACUACACAGAAAGGGACGGCUAACUACGUG
rnacentral:rRNA from 1 species